CGCAAAGCUCCAACAGCAGGAGUAAACCCUGAAAGACCAUACAGAAGCAAAAGGGUCAAGUUACAAGGAGAAGAUGCAGGCAGCUGCAACAACGGAUGAAAACAGACCCAAAGAGGAGGGGAGGACCCUAGGCCAUGCGUCAGGCCGCUGGUUUACCUAAACUACAGAACAGGAAGGUGAUGAACACAAACAUACACCAACACGCGAACACACACUUCUGCAUGCGCCUACUUAGAAUGAAGGGAAACACACACAUGAACACUUAUGCACUUGUUGAGGGAGUAAAAACUGAUACAUACCCAUGCACUAAAAUCAAAAUGUUGAUUUAAUUUACUAAGAAGUGACACACAAUGCUCCAGCUGCUGCAAUGAAGAAUGCUUUACUGACAAAGGCUCAAUGCUGCACACGACAACGUCAAAUACAGAAUUUGCUAUAAUAAUAAGCCCAGAGGGCAUUUGUGUGGUCUGGGGAGCCGAGUCCGGAGCGGUUUGGUUAUGAAAACGAUGCCCGUGCGAGAUAUCUGGGGCUUAAGGCCUCGACUUAAUUGUUUACUGUACACUAAAAAGAAAAGAAAACCCUCUGAGCAGUGGUGCAGAGUGAAAACGAGGAAUUAACAGUGUGAGUUUUAUUUCAGAGCGCCACGUCAUUGUGAUGGAGAUUUAAUAAAGGAGGAACACACGGACAAAGAAGAAGAGAAGGGGGGACAGCCUUUGAGCACGAUUGCCUGAGGCAUUAAAGUUCUGUACUAAAUUCGGGUUUCCAGUGUGAGAAAAAGUCACGCAGUGCCAGUAGUAGAGCUAGGUUGAGUGAUGAUUCUAAAUUACUGUAAGUAAAUCAUCGUACACCGUUCAAGGUUCAUGAUAACGGGGAUCUAGACUUUGUUGAACCCUAGGCAAUUUGAACAGGUAAAAUUCGAGUGACCAAGUAGCAGUUGAAUAAAAGUCAUUGAAUAAGUGUUGAAAUAAACUGGCAGAAUUAAGAGAAUUAAAACAUUUCAAGAGCUCAAAUUACUUAAUGGUUCAAUUUUGUUUCACGAACGCGAAACAUAUAGGUUUAUGAAUAUGAAAAGGUUGAGGUGGUGUUGAUUUGACUCUGUGUAGGUUUAGGUUUGGUAUUUUUAUUGAUGGGAAGAAUAUUCAGUGACAAGUCCUAAGACCCGGGCGUCUGCAUUUUGUUUUUGUUAUUUUUCAUUUUAUUUUGUUUUAUAUUUUGAACAGUGCACUGAUUUUUGUUUGUGAAUCUUUUCUUUAAGCAGAUCUGCACAUCGGAAAUUACAAGCCAGUACACGUCGGCGAGAAAAUUGUUGUAAGUGAGUUUCUCCGCAUUGAAAUGGGUUCUGGAGGAAACACUUGUGGGGACAAUUAGAAACGAGAGUCCCUGUUUAAAAAAGGAUUCAGCGAGGUAAUCCAAAUUCAAGUUCUUGUUUUCUUUUUGAGAUGACGUCAUUUUGCUGAGUGUGGAAACUAUAUGCGAUGACAGGUUUCACUAUCAGCAAAGAACGGAUGAAUGGAUGAAAGACUGGGAAUAAAAACAAACGGACUGACUGGUAAAAGAUGACAAGACUUGACCAUGACUCAAGGUUAACCACCUCCACCUAGAUAGGAUAAAAGGGUGGAUGAAUUUAUGUGUGUUUCUUUUACAGGAGUAGAAGGAUGACAAAAUAUUCGAGGAUGAGUGAACCUGUAAAUGCCAUUUUUGUGUCUUGUGUUGGUUACAGUUUUAAUGUUUUUCUAUUACAGGAUUUCUGGGCGGAUGUGUGAAGAAACGGUGUUUAUGGGUUAGGAGUUGGGGAUGCUAUUACACUGUAUUCUGG
ensembl:lncRNA